rnacentral:lncRNA from 1 species
CCUGACUGAACCAGGAAAGGGGCUCAGGAAGCAGCUGUAGGCCAGUGAAAGGACUACAGGCUUGGAGUCAGAAGGCCUGGGUUCAAACUUGGCCUUGAGAGUUCAUCGUGAUCCUGGGCCAGUCACUUCACUUCCUAGGGACUCAUCUGGUUCAUCCAUCUGUAAACAAAGCCGAUCAUAUCACCCUCCCAGGAUCACUGCAGGACCAGUAAGGAAGAUAUUGAGUAAUCCAGCUGUGAGAACUGCAGACUGAGAACAAUAAGUAUUUUUAAAAUAACAACCUUCCGAGUGACCACCGACGCAUCAAAUACUGGAUUGGGCGUGGUGUUAUUAUAAGACCAAGAGAAUGUAAAACAUCCUGUAACAUAUCUUAGUAGAAGAUCUUUGCCAAGGGAAAGAAAUCUGUCUUCUAUCUAAGAGGAAUGUUUGGUAAUCGUUUGGGCCUUGGAUAAACUCAGGCCAUACGUCUUGGGCCAGGCAUUUACAUUAUGGACUAAUCAUAGAGCCCUGCAGUGAAUAUAGACAUUGUGGAGUAAGAGUAGGUUACCGAGAUGGUCAUGGCAGCUUUGACACUCACAGAGACAUGCAGCCUGUGUCCGGAUGGGGAACAUUCAGGCCAAGACCCUUUCUUAAAAGGAAAAAUGUGAACGCUGGUAUCCCCUGAACGGACCCCAUCUAAGUGGAUCCUGAACUCCCAGCCUGUGCCAUCAGAUAAGAAUGUCAACAUGGCAGAGGGCGAAGGUAAGAAGGGACCCGUCCAACUCAGCCUGCUUGGGUCACAUUUUGUUUGCUUUAUCAGGUCCAAGAGAAAUCUGACUUCUUUGAGGGACCUGUGGGUGUCAUUCACAGGGACUCCUGGUAACUGAGCUAGACAGUGAAAAACAGGCAUUCUCUGUAAAAGGGCACUUGGGACUGACAAGAAGACAGAAGAAACAGAAGCUCGCCACUCAUGACAGCAGCACAGGCGUAGGCUUGGAGAAAGAAAGAUGAACUUGAGAGCCUUUGGUUCAGAGAGGUGUUACAGACUUGCUGAAAAUGUAACUCCAAGCAGCAGCAGAAGAUAAAUGAGAACAGAAGGAGCUAGAAGGGAAAUGGACUAAAGCAGGAAAAAUACAAAGAAAAGCAAAGGCUAGGAGAUCAAACAUCUAAAACAAUACUAGCAAAC